GAUGAAUGCUGGCGGCGUGCCUAACACAUGCAAGUCGAGCGGUAAGGCCCUUCGGGGGUACACGAGCGGCGGACGGCUGAGUAACGCGUGGGAACAUGCCCCAAAGUGAGGGAUAAGCUCCAGAAAUGGAGUCUAAUACCGCAUAUGAUCUUCGGAUUAAAGGAUUUAUCCGCUUUGGGAGUGGCCUGCGUACGAUUAGAUAGUUGGUGAGGUAAUGGCUUACCAAGUCUACGAUCGUUAACUGGUCUGAGAGGAUGAUCAGUCAGACUGGAACUGAGACACGGUCCAGACUCCUACGGGAGGCAGCAGUGAGGAAUCUUCCACAAUGGGCGAAAGCCUGAUGGAGCAACGCCGCGUGCAGGAUGAAGGCCUUCGGGUCGUAAACUGCUUUAUAAGUGAAGAAUAUGACGGUAACUUAUGAAUAAGCACCGGCUAACUACGUGCCAGCAGCCGCGGUAU
rnacentral:rRNA from 1 species